rnacentral:rRNA from 1 species
UCCUACGGGGGGCUGCAGUAGGGAAUAUUGGUCAAUGGACGCAAGUCUGAACCAGCCAUGCCGCGUGAAGGAUGAAGGCCCUAUGGGUCGUAAACUUCUUUUAUUAGGGAAGAAAAAACGGGAUGCGUCCUGUACUGACGGUACUUAAUGAAUAAGGAUCGGCUAACUUCGUGCCAGCAGCCGCGGUAAGACGAAGGAUCCAAGCGUUGUCCGGAUUUACUGGGUUUAAAGGGUGCGUAGGCGGAAAAUUAAGUCAGUGGUGAAAGCCCGCAGCUCAACUGUGGAACUGCCAUUGAAACUGGUUUUCUUGAAUGUAGCUGAGGCAGAUGGAAUAUAACAUGUAGCGGUGAAAUGCUUAGAUAUGUUAUAGAACACCGAUUGCGAAGGCAGUCUGCUAAACUAUUAUUGACGCUGAGGCACGAAAGCGUGGGGAGCGAACAGGAUUAGAUACCCCUGUAGUC